UACGUAGGGGGCAAGCGUUGUCCGGAAUUAUUGGGCGUAAAGAGCGUGUAGGCGGUCCGGUAAGUCGGCUGUGAAAGCCCAGGGCUCAACCCUGGGAUCGCCGGUCGAUACUGCCGGACUAGAGUUCGGAAGAGGCGAGUGGAAUUCCCGGUGUGAGCGGUGAAAUGCGCAGAUAUCGGGAGGAACACCUAUGGCGAAGGCAGCUCGCUGGGACGUUACUGACGCUGAGACGCGGAAAGCGUGGGGAGCAAACAGG
rnacentral:rRNA from 1 species